rnacentral:rRNA from 1 species
GACGAACGCUGGCGGCGUGCUUAACACAUGCAAGUCGAACGAAGAGCGAUGGAAGCUUGCUUCUAUCAAUCUUAGUGGCGCACGGGUGAGUAACGCGUAAUCAACCUGCCCUUCAGAGGGGGACAACAGUUGGAAACGACUGCUAAUACCGCAUACGAUCUAAACUCGGCAUCGAGGAUAGAUGAAAGGUGGCCUCUACAUGUAAGCUAUCACUGAAGGAGGGGAUUGCGCCUGAUUAGCUAGUUGGAGGGGUAACGGCCCACCAAGGCGAUGAUCAGUAGCCGGUCUGAGAGGAUGAACGGCCACAUUGGGACUGAGACACGGCCCAGACUCCUACGGGAGGCAGCAGUGGGGAAUCUUCCGCAAUGGACGAAAGUCUGACGGAGCAACGCCGCGUGAGUGAUGACGGCCUUCGGGUUGUAAAGCUCUGUUAAUCGGGACGAAAGGCCUUCUUGCGAAUAGUGAGAAGGAUUGACGGUACCGGAAUAGAAAGCCACGGCUAACUACGUG